rnacentral:misc_RNA from 1 species
UAAUAUCUUCCUCGUGAAUCCUUAUAACAUCUUCCAUUCCUUUGGUACUGUUGAUGGAUAAAUGGUCUGCAAUAAUCCGCCAAACAUUGGUCCUGAUAUUCGCAUAUUGAAUUUGAUCUUCGAAAUCUUCUUUGUGUCGAAACUUUUCCUGAACUGAACUUUGUAAUAUUCUUCCCUUUGAACCUCUUGCAGCCUCUUUUGGAAGUUGUCUGGCAUGUUUAUA